rnacentral:misc_RNA from 1 species
AACGCAUAUUGCGCCCGCCAGCAUUCUGGCGGGCAUGCCUGUUCGAGCGUCAUUUCAACCCUCAGGGCUCUUCCCUCCCCGGGAGAGAGCGCUGGUGCUGGGGAUCGGCCGCCCUUCUCGCGGCGGCCGGCCCUGAAAUAUAGUGGCGGUCUCGACGCGAUCUCCUCUGUGCAGUAGUGAUACCUCGCAGCUGGAAUAGCGACCUGGCCACGCCGUAAAACGCAUAAACUUUUACGUGGUUGACCUCGGAUCAGGCAGGAAUACCCGCUGAACUUAA